UACGUAGGGUGCGAGCGUUGUCCGGAAUUAUUGGGCGUAAAGAGCUCGUAGGCGGUUUGUCGCGUCGGGAGUGAAAACUCAGGGCUUAACCCUGAGCCUGCUUCCGAUACGGGCAGACUAGAGGUAUGCAGGGGAGAAUGGAAUUCCUGGUGUAGCGGUGAAAUGCGCAGAUAUCAGGAGGAACACCGGUGGCGAAGGCGGUUCUCUGGGCAUUACCUGACGCUGAGGAGCGAAAGCCAGGGGAGCAAACGGG
rnacentral:rRNA from 1 species